UUUGAAACAGCUCUAGGCU
rnacentral:misc_RNA from 1 species